rnacentral:rRNA from 1 species
UACGGAGGGAGCUAGCGUUGUUCGGAAUUACUGGGCGUAAAGCGCGCGUAGGCGGCUUUGUAAGUUAGAGGUGAAAGCCCGGGGCUCAACCCCGGAACUGCCUUUAAGACUGCAUCGCUUGAAUCCGGGAGAGGUGAGUGGAAUUCCGAGUGUAGAGGUGAAAUUCGUAGAUAUUCGGAAGAACACCAGUGGCGAAGGCGGCUCACUGGACCGGCAUUGACGCUGAGGUGCGAAAGCGUGGGUAGCAAACAGG